GCUUUUGUACUAACUGUGCCAACACCCAUGUUUACACAAGUCUAGAGAAGGAAGGAGCCGGAGUCCUGGAACAAGACUGGAGCUAGGGGGUUGGGGGGGGGGGGGUCAGCCUCAGAAUGGCAUUUUAUUUAUUUAUUUAUGUAUUUAUCAAAGGAAUGGGCCAAAGUUCUAGGUUCUGUUUCUAGGUGCUGUAAUGAAAACCCUAGGAGACUGUCAGAAAAGCUGAAGCUUAGAACUGUUUGGAAUUAUGAUUGAGAUUAGGUAACCUAUAGCUGUCAAUGGAGACACAGAACUGUAGCUUUCCCCUCCCCUCCCCUCCCCUCCCCCAAACUGGCCUUGAGACCAUAACUGGAAGCAAGUACCUCAAGGAGACCUAGUACUCAUGGUCCAGGACUUAGGAUAGGACUAGACGAGCCAUCAGAAUGACUCUUCCUGUGCCCACGGCGGGCACAUCACCAAGCCUUCUGGGACCAUUUAUUUGCCAGCCAAAAACAGACUGAAAUUCUGUAUUCUCUGAAGUGAACAUUCCACGACUGUGACCGAUGCAAAGCUGGACCCCAUGUUGACCCUGGUGCAGGCAAAAGAGCCUCGGUCUGCCAGGGACACUGAAUGACAACAGCACUGUUGUUUGAGACAGUGUCACUCUGUAGCUCAGGCUGGCCUUGAAUUGAUGGCACUUGUCCUUCCUCAGCCUCCCGUGCUGGGAUUAUAGGAAGCACUGUGCCAUCACGCCUGGCGCAUUCAGUCUGCUGUUUGAGAAUCACUGUGCUGUUUGCCAAUUGUCCAACAUACAGCCCAGGAAGUGGAAAGCGUCGUUAACGUGAGCACAAUCAUCAGAAGGGGGGCGGGCUGUGCCCUUGGACUCCAGCCCAUGAGAACAGAAUUACUACAGGACAAAGCACUCUCAUUACAAGGGAUUGUCCUGCUUUUGUACUAAAUAUUUAAAGAAUGACUAGGAUUUUAAAGUAGUUGAAAUUUUGUUGGACAUUGUAUGUCUGUUCUGAGGAUUCCGCCUCUCCCCAGUGCUAAAGCUUACCUUACAACCAGACUUAUUGAGAGAAUUUCUUUUUCCUAACUGAAAGACCUUUGUCUAAUGCGUUUUAUCAUGUACAAUUGUCAUAUUGUCCAAGGGGUGGGGGAGUGUUAAGAAUAAACAAUUUCACUGUGUCUCCUGAAGUGACUUUACUUGAGGCUAGACCUGGUGGUUUAUGAUCCCAGCUGCUCUGGAGAACGCACAGUCAAUCAGGCUGGAUCAGUAGGUAAAGCCUGAUGACCAGAGUUUGACCCAUAUAAACAUGGGUAGAGAGGACUGACCCCUCAAGGCAGGCUUCCCAGUGCUAGAAAACAAACACUCUCUGGGCACUCUGCACCUACACUAGUUUAGGAGGAACUAUCAACACAAGCCGGCUGCAGGACGAUGACAUCCACCCCCUGCCACAGGGCCAGACCUCAGACUUUGAUUCGGGUCUUGGCAGAUACUUUACUCCACAACCUCAGAGGCCAAAGUCCUUUCUGGCAAUCAACUUUCUCCUGCCCUUAUACCUGGAAGAUGAUGCUCUCCAGCCCAUGAGCUAGCAGCACGGGGCCAACAAGGACAACUUGUAAAGUGGAGUGUCACCAGCUCUCUACGGUGAAAGUAACAAUAAAUGCCAGAAUGGCAUUAUUCAGGGCAUCGUCCUCAUCGUGAGGACGGCUGAUACUUACAGUUCCUCAGACAGUGAGCUCCAGUCACUUACCCUCUGACCUUUGGGACAGUGAGUUCCAGUCACUUACCCUCUGACCUUUGGGACAGUGAGUUCCAGUCACUUACCCUCUGACCUUUGGGACAGUGAGCUCCAGUCACUUACCCUCUGACCUUUGGGACAGUGACUUAAUGCCUUUUAACCCUCAGAAAGGGAUCUAGCUGAUGUCCCCAGAAACCAAAAGUUUUCUGCCAGCUGGGCAAAAUGGACAAGUCUUUAAUCAAAGGACUCAGGCAGAUGGACCCCCUGAGUUGAGUUAGAGGCUAGCCUAGUCGACAUAGAGUUUCAGAACAGCCAGAGCUACAUAGACCAUCUC
rnacentral:lncRNA from 1 species